rnacentral:rRNA from 1 species
GAGGGCAAAACCGUAAAAAGAACAAGCUACUGGAAUCAUAGAAUUUCUUUAAAUUCAUGAUGUCGUAAGGGAAAAUAAUGAUAAUACCUUACUAUGAGUGUUGUCCAAAGCUGGUGCCAGAAGACUCGGUAAGACCAGAAACGCAAACGUUAAUCAUCAUAAACAGGCGUAAAGGGUUUGUAGGCAGCUUUCAUCAGAUUAUAUUAAAAAUCCAAAAGUCUAAUUGAAAGCUAGAAUCAAAAAGAGGUUAUAGUGUAUAACGCCUAGAGGAGGGCUGAUAUCCAUAGAUCCUAGGCAGAAUACUAAGGGCGAAGGCCACUUUCCAUUAAUGAUUGACGCUGAGAAACGAAGGUUAGGGUAGGAAAUAGGAUUAGAUACCCCGGUACUCCUUUCUGUAAACGAUGAAUGGUAGUCAUUAGUUUAUCUCUUUUUUUUUAUAAAGAAUAAAAGACUAAAAUAACUAGAGACGAAGUUAACACAAUAACCAUUCCGCCUUGUGAGUACUACUGCAAAGUAGAAAACAAAAAAAUUAGUCGGUCUCGAAGCAAACGGAGUGAAGCAUGUUAUUUAAUUCGAUUUAAUCCGCCA